rnacentral:rRNA from 1 species
GUAUCCUGUCUGAAUAUGGGGGGACCAUCCUCCAAGGCUAAAUACUCCUGACUGACCGAUAGUGAACCAGUACCGUGAGGGAAAGGCGAAAAGAACCCCGGCGAGGGGAGUGAAAAAGAACCUGAAACCGUGUACGUACAAGCAGUGGGAGCACCUUCGGGUGUGACUGCGUACCUUUUGUAUAAUGGGUCAGCGACUUAUAUUCUGUAGCAAGGUUAACCGUAUAGGGGAGCCGCAGGGAAACCGAGUCUUAACUGGGCGUUAAGUUGCAGGGUAUAGACCCGAAACCCGGUGAUCUAGCCAUGGGCAGGUUGAAGGUUGGGUAACACUAACUGGAGGACCGAACCGACUAAUGUUGAAAAAUUAGCGGAUGACUUGUGGCUGGGGGUGAAAGGCCAAUCAAACCGGGAGAUAGCUGGUUCUCCCCGAAAGCUAUUUAGGUAGCGCCUCGUGAACUCAUCUUCGGGGGUAGAGCACUGUUUCGGCUAGGGGGUCAUCCCGACUUACCAACCCGAUGCAAACUACGAAUACCGAAGAAUGUUAUCACGGGAGACACACGGCGGGUGCUAACGUCCGUCGUGAAGAGGGAAACAACCCAGACCGCCAGCUAAGGUCCCAAAGUCAUGGUUAAGUGGGAAACGAUGUGGGAAGGCACAGACAGCCAGGAUGUUGGCUUAGAAGCAGCCAUCAUUUAAAGAAAGCGUAAUAGCUCACUGGUCGAGUCGGCCUGCGCGGAAGAUGUAACGGGGCUAAACCAUGCACCGAAGCUGCGGCAGCGACACUAUGUGUUGUUGGGUAGGGGAGCGUUCUGUAAGCCUGCGAAGGUGUGCUGUGAGGCAUGCUGGAGGUAUCAGAAGUGCGAAUGCUGACAUAAGUAACGAUAAAGCGGGUGAAAAGCCCGCUCGCCGGAAGACCAAGGGUUCCUGUCCAACGUUAAUCGGGGCAGGGUGAGUCGACCCCUAAGGCGAGGCCGAAAGGCGUAGUCGAUGGGAAACAGGUUAAUAUUCCUGUACUUGGUGUUACUGCGAAGGGGGGACGGAGAAGGCUAUGUUAGCCGGGCGACGGUUGUC